AAGAAGUUUCAAAGUAGAAGAAAAAGGAACAGUCGAGGAUACGUCUCUAGAGAGACGUAUCCUCGACUGUUCCUUUUUCUUCUAUUUUGAAACUACUUCUU
rnacentral:pre_miRNA from 1 species